CAACCAAUUUGAACUCUAGAAGUUUUCUCUAAAGCAUGAAAUUAUUUGGAUUUUGGUGUAUGAAAUCUAAUGUUCUGCUUUUCAGUGAGUAUCUCUAUGAUUACCUGUGAUCCAUUGCCGAGCUUUACAUUAUAUAGUUUGAUUCAACUUUUUUGUUUGAACUCCUCUAAGCUUUUGACUAACAUGACAUUUUGAAAUUUGAUGUCCCUUGUCCAAUAUUUUUUGUGGUUAUGUCUCAAUGACGAGCAUCCAGUUGUGAAUGCCCAGUAUUCACAAGUCCAAACAGUAGGUUGACCAUUUUAUUGGAAAGUAUCGUUGAUAGUGAUUAUCAGGAUCAAAAAGCAAAGGACAAAGAAGUGGAUAGACACCUUAUGGAAAAAUUGGAUGAGGACUUCAGGUCAUUGGCUCAAUCAGAAGCAUUACAUUCCUUAACCCAACUGAGUAAGAUGAAUGCUCUAAAGGCUCUAUUAAACAAGAACCUCACAGGGAAAACUAGCAAAGAAUAAAAAACUACAGUGGAUAAGGAAUUGUUUAAGAAGGAAGAACAUAAGAAAAAGGAUGCUUGUGGAUGAUGAUGAUGAUCUGGGCACAAAUGAUGAAGCUGAACUUGAAGAAAUGGAGUUGAAUGACAAUGAUGCGAACGGCAUGAAAGUAAAGGGGAAAAAAAUCAGAUAAUCAGAAGGCCAAUGUUGCUGGGAAGCUUCUUUCAAAACUAGAGACACUGCCUUACGCUAUUGAAGUCCUGAAAAACUUGAUGGAUUAUGCUCAUUCCUGGGUAAUAGGUUAGAUGCAGAAGUAGUUCAGGCCUGCAAAUCAGAUCAAAAAGCAAAAGGACAAGGAAGAGGUUAGACACCUUAGGGAAAAAGUGGAUAAGGACUUAAGCUCACUGGCUUGAUUACUCUCCUUAACGCCAAUGAAGAACUACUCUUAGUCUAUGAGUACACGCCAAACAGGAGCCUUGAUAGUUUUCUAUUCGGUGAAGGCAAACAAACUCUUAAUUGGGAUAGGAGAUUUCACAUAAUCAAGGGUGUGGCCUCUGGUCUCCAGUAUUUGCACUAAGACUGGGACUAAGUUGUGACUCAUAGGGACAUUAAGGCCAGCAAUGUGUUGCUUGACAGUGAUAUGAAUGGGAAGUUAAGUGAUUUUGGACCUAUCUAAAUUAUAUGAUCAUGGUUCUGCUCCUCACAUCAUUAAUGUGGUUGGAACUUUCAGUUUUCUUGCACCUGAACUUGCUAGAACUUGUAAAGAGUCACAACCAGCAGUGAUGAAUGCUCUAUGGUUUUUACUGAACAAGAGAAUACACAGUCUGAUAAGGAAUUGGUUGAGAAUGUAAAAUGUUUUGUCCAAUGUUUGUAUUUGUUGUCUCAAUUGUAUGGUUUAACAAAAAUGAUUGCAUAUAUGUACAUAGGGUUCUGAAGCAGAAACACAUUCAAGAUUUGUA